GAGUUUGAUCAUGGCUCAGAGUGAACGCUGGCGGCGGGCCUAAUACAUGCAAGUCGAACGGCAGCACAGCAGAGCUUGCUCUGUGGGUGGCGAGUGGCGGACGGGUGAGGAAUACAUGGGAAUCUGCCCAGUCGUGGGGAUAACGUAGGGAAACUUACGCUAAUACCGCAUGCGCCCUUCGGGGGAAAGCCGGGGACCUUCGGGCCUGGCGCGAUUGGAUGAGCCCAUGUCGGAUUAGCUAGUUGGCGGGGUAAUGGCCCACCAAGGCGACGAUCCGUAGCUGGUCUGAGAGGAUGAUCAGCCACACUGGAACUGAGACACGGUCCAGACUCCUACGGGAGGCAGCAGUAGGGAAUAUUGGACAAUGGGCGCAAGCCUGAUCCAGCCAUGCCGCGUGAGUGAAGAAGGCCCUCGGGUUGUAAAGCUCUUUUGUCCGGAAAGAAAAGCGCCGGGUUAAUACCCUGGUGUCCUGACGGUACCGGAAGAAUAAGCACCGGCUAACUUCGUG
rnacentral:rRNA from 1 species